rnacentral:rRNA from 1 species
GACAGAGGGUGCAAACGUUGCUCGGAAUCACUGGGCGUAAAGGGCGUGUAGGCGGGAAGAUAAGUCGGGCGUGAAAUCCCUGGGCUCAACCCAGGAACUGCACUCGAAACUGUUUUUCUUGAGUAUCGGAGAGGAAAGCGGAAUUCCUGGUGUAGAGGUGAAAUUCGUAGAUAUCAGGAGGAACACCAGCGGCGAAGGCUGCUUUCUGGACGAUAACUGACGCUGAGACGCGAAAGCGUGGGGAGCAAACGGG